CAGGAGCCUCCAUCAGACCAUGGCUGUGCUGGGGCUGCUCCUCUGCCUGCUGGCUGCUCCCUGCUGUGUCUGGGCCCAGGUGCAGCUGAAGGAGUCAGGACCUGGCCUGGUGAAGCCUAAGGAGACCCUGUCCCUCACCUGCUCUGUGUCUGGAUUUUCCCUAACCAGCAAUAGUAUGCACUGGAUCCGCCAGCCACCAGGAAAGGGUCUGGAAUGGAUCGGUGCAAUGUGGAGUGAUGGAGACACAGAUUAUAAUUCAGCUCUCAAAUCCCGAGUCAGUAUCACCAGGGACACCUCCAAGAGCCAAGUUUUCCUGAAACUGAACAAUCUGCAGCCUGAGGACACAGGCGUGUAUUUCUGUACCAGAGACACAGUGCAGCUGCAGGAGUCAGGAUUUGCCGUCGUGAAGACCUCACAGUCACCAUUCCUGUCCUGCACCAUCACAGAUUCCUCUAUCAACUCUAGUUUCUACUGGACCUCGAUACGACGGCCUCUAGAGAAGAGGCUGAGUGAAUGA